AUAACUUAAUCUUUUAAAUUAAAUGCUUUAUCAUGUUUCAUGCAUCAUGAUUAUGCAAUAGGAUGAUUGCAUUAGUUUUCACGAAUAUGCCGCAUUGCAUAAAUUGUUGUUGUUGUGGGUGAAUGUCGGAUGACCCAGUUAGUCCAUGACAGGAAGACCAGGCCCCAUGCUACAGGCCUGGCACAGAGUAAGAAAGACCAGGCCCCAGUCUACAGGCCUGGCACAGAGUAAGGAAAGACCAGGAUUCCAUCCUAUGGUCUAGCACGGUUAUGGGACUUGAAGACCAGGAGCCAGAGGAGGCCCUGGGAAAAUGGUAAGUAAUGUAUGUUCUGACAGG
rnacentral:lncRNA from 1 species